rnacentral:rRNA from 1 species
AGAGUUUGAUCAUGGCUCAGGACGAACGCUGGCGGCACGCUUAACACAUGCAAGUCGAACGAGAGAAGAGGAGCUUGCUUUUCUGAUCUAGUGGCGGACGGGUGAGUAACACGUGAGCAAUCUGCCUUUCAGAGGGGGAUACCGAUUGGAAACGAUCGUUAAUACCGCAUAACAUAAUUGAACCGCAUGAUUUGAUUAUCAAAGAUUUAUCGCUGAAAGAUGAGCUCGCGUCUGAUUAGCUAGUUGGUAAGGUAACGGCUUACCAAGGCGACGAUCAGUAGCCGGACUGAGAGGUUGAUCGGCCACAUUGGGGCUGAGACACGGCCCAGACUCCUACGGGAGGCAGCAGUGGGGAAUAUUGCACAAUGGAGGAAACUCUGAUGCAGCGAUGCCGCGUGAGGGAAGAAGGUUUUAGGAUUGUAAACCUCUGUCUUCAGGGACGAAAAAAGACGGUACCUGAGGAGGAAGCUCCGGCUAACUACGUGCCAGCAGCCGCGGUAAUACGUAGGGAGCGAGCGUUGUCCGGAAUUACUGGGUGUAAAGGGAGCGUAGGCGGGAUCGCAAGUCAGAUGUGAAAACUAUGGGCUUAACCCAUAAACUGCAUUUGAAACUGUGGUUCUUGAGUGAAGUAGAGGUAAGCGGAAUUCCUAGUGUAGCGGUGAAAUGCGUAGAUAUUAGGAGGAACAUCAGUGGCGAAGGCGGCUUACUGGGCUUUAACUGACGCUGAGGCUCGAAAGCGUGGGGAGCAAACAGGAUUAGAUACCCUGGUAGUCCACGCCGUAAACGAUGAUUACUAGGUGUGGGGGGACUGACCCCUUCCGUGCCGCAGCAAACGCAAUAAGUAAUCCACCUGGGGAGUACGACCGCAAGGUUGAAACUCAAAGGAAUUGACGGGGGCCCGCACAAGCAGUGGAGUAUGUGGAUUAAUUCGAAGCAACGCGAAGAACCUUACCAGGUCUUGACAUCGUAUGCAUAGCUCAGAGAUGAGUGAAAUCUCUUCGGAGACAUAUAGACAGGUGGUGCAUGGUUGUCGUCAGCUCGUGUCGUGAGAUGUUGGGUUAAGUCCCGCAACGAGCGCAACCCUUACUGUUAGUUGCUACGCAAGAGCACUCUAGCAGGACUGCCGUUGACAAAACGGAGGAAGGUGGGGAUGACGUCAAAUCAUCAUGCCCUUAUGACCUGGGCCUCACACGUACUACAAUGGCUGUCAACAGAGGGAAGCAAAGCCGCGAGGUGGAGCGAACCCCUAAAAGCAGUCUUAGUUCGGAUUGUAGGCUGCAACCCGCCUACAUGAAGUCGGAAUUGCUAGUAAUCGCAGAUCAGCAUGCUGCGGUGAAUACGUUCCCGGGCCUUGUACACACCGCCCGUCACGCCAUGGGAGUCGGUAACACCCGAAGCCUGUAGUCUAACCGCAAGGAGGACGCAGUCGAAGGUGGGAUUGAUGACUGGGGUGAAGUCGUAACAAGGUA